rnacentral:misc_RNA from 1 species
GUAGGUGAACCUGCGGAAGGAUCAUUAAAGAAUCGCCCCGUUUUUUGAAAUGGGUUCUAUUCCCAAACCGUGUCUACAUACCUUUGUUGCUUUGGCAGGCCGCCGCUUCGGCGUUGGCUCCGGCUGACUGUGCCUGCCAGAGGACCCAAACUCGUUUGUUUAGUGAUGUCUGAGUACUAUAUAAUAGUUAAAACUUUCAACAACGGAUCUCUUGGUUCUG